AUGCAGUUUUGGGCACGCUGGACUCAUCAACACAGCUAUGCGAAUAAAAAAUAAGAGAGAGGGAAGUAAUCAGAUGAAGAGACUGAUACAGAAAUGCUGAAGAGAGGGAUUCAGCAAAAAAAGAGAUGUUAAAAAAGCAGCAAUACUCUAGAGUCUGAAAGCCCAAGGGAGGGAAUGAUAGAAAGGAUAGAGAGCAAAGGUCCGGAUGUGUAUCUAUCUCACAAGAUCUGAAAAUCAUCUCAAGACAGCAAAUCAGUACAGCGUGAAGCUUAUGAAAGGACUCCAGGCUCCAUCAUAACAGCUUUAAUAAGUUUGGCGCAAAGAGGGAGUAAAGCUUAUUACGGAAUAUGAAGCAGAAGCCCCACAUAAAUGAUUUUACUUCAUCUAAACGCCAACGGUUUGAUUCAUAUCGCAGGAGGAAAACUGUGGGCCCAUGACGGGCUCAUAUGAAAUUAACAUAAUGAGCGCUGCUCAUAAAUCUCACUGAUUUCUUACCCAACUAUUAAAAAGCAAA